UACGUAGGUCCCAAGCGUUAUCCGGAAUUACUGGGCGUAAAGAGUUGCGUAGGUGGCAUGGUAAGCGAAUAGUGAAAGCGUGCGGCUCAACCGCAUACACAUUAUUCGAACUGCCAAGCUAGAAGACGAGAGAGGUAGCUGGAAUUCCCAGUGUAGGAGUGAAAUCCGUAGAUAUUGGGAGGAACACCGAUGGCGUAGGCAGGCUACUGGCUCGUUCUUGACACUAAGGCACGAAAGCGUGGGGAGCAAACGGG
rnacentral:rRNA from 1 species